UAAAUACUCCCUCUGUCCCAAAAUUCUUGUCUUAGUUUUGUUUAGAAAUGGAUGUAUCCAAAUACUAAAACUUGACUAGACACAUUCAUAUCUAAACAAAUCUAAGACAAGAAUUUUGACGGAGGGAGUAUAAG
rfam:Hordeum vulgare subsp. vulgare, WGS project CAJW01000000 data, contig: morex_contig_2553952